rnacentral:rRNA from 1 species
ACUCCUACGGGAGGCAGCAGUGGGGAAUAUUGCACAAUGGGCGCAAGCCUGAUGCAGCCAUGCCGCGUGUAUGAAGAAGGCCUUCGGUUGUAAAGUACUUUCAGCAGUGAGGAAGGUGGAUAUGUUAAUAGCAUAUUCAUUUGACGUUAGCUGCAGAAGAAGCACCGGCUAACUCCGUGCCAGCAGCCGCAGUAAUACGGAGGGUGCGAGCGUUAAUCGGAAUUACUGGGCGUAAAGCGCAUGCAGGUGGUUUGUUAAGUCAGAUGUGAAAGCCCGGGGCUCAACCUCGGAAUUGCAUUUGAAACUGGCAAACUAGAGUACUGUAGAGGGGGUAGAAUUUCAGGUGUAGCGGUGAAAUGCGUAGAGAUCUGAAGGAAUACCGGUGGCGAAGGCGGCCCCCUGGACAGAUACUGACACUCAGAUGCGAAAGCGUGGGGAGCAAACAGGAUUAGAUACCCUGGUAGGUCAGU